GAAAUGCGAUCAUAAUGUGAAUUGCAAAUCCCGUGAAUCAUUGAGUUUUUGAACGCACUUUGCACCGACUGUUUACAGGAGGUUUGUUUGUUUGAAAUGAUUG
rnacentral:rRNA from 1 species